ACCAGUCGCCAGCAAUCCCCUCUCACGACUCCGUCGCUCCACCCAGCGCUGAUGAUGUUGUGAACUGCUCUGUCUUCCCUGCCCAAGCUUACCGCUCCCAGCGCCUCCACCGUCAUUCCCUUCCACUUCUCAUGCUUCUUUACCAACCCUAUCACGCUUUUACACCUUUUAACCCCCCUCCCCCUCUCACCCUCCUCACACAUACCCCAGCGCCCGAGCGACAUUGAGAGAGAAAGAGCGCAAAUGAGAGAUUGAGUUGUCCCUGGUCAGUCCUGUGGUGGUGCUUGCUUCUACCCUUUUCUUUCCUAACCUUGUUGGAUGAGAGGCUUCUUGUUGUGUUUUGGUGCUGCAUUUGUACAUGAGGUUCAUCGUGGUUGCGAGCUGCGUACUUUAGCAAGUGUUCUGGAAAACUUCGGGUUUCUGAGGCAUUGAACUACCUGGAGUGAGAUUUUUUUGGGAAUUUGAAAGAGAAUUACAUAUAUACAAGGUUGAGGCUCACCGAGAACAAGUCUGCUGAUAGCUUCUUCACUCUUGAAAUAGAUAGUUCAUCAUGGAUUCAGGAGGUGACCGCGUGCGAGCUCCUCAGAAGCAGUCUCGCGAGGAGGAUCAGUACCGUUCAUUGAACAUUGCUACAGAGCAUCGUCAGCAUAUACAGAAGCACCAACAACACCAACAGCAGCCGGGGACUGGAUUGGUUGUUGAAACGCUUCAAAAAACACUAUGUAACGUGACUGUGACCUCACCUACAAGCAGUCCGGAGGGGGGUAGAUUACGUACUGUUGCGAACAAGUAUGCAGUGGAAGGAAUGGUCGGCAGUGGCGCAUUUUGCAAGGUGUACCAGGGUUCUGACUUAACCAACCAUGAGGUUGUGGGCAUCAAGCUCGAGGAUACAAGAACAGAGCACGCACAAUUGAUGCACGAGUCGCGAUUAUACAACAUUUUGCGGGGUGGAAAGGGAGUGCCCAACAUGAGAUGGUUUGGGAAAGAGCAAGACUACAAUGUGAUGGUGCUAGAUUUGCUGGGGCCUAACCUACUGCACCUUUUCAAGGUGUGUGGGCAAAGAUUUUCGUUGAAGACGGUGAUCAUGUUGGGGUACCAAAUGAUCGACCGGGUGGAGUACGUGCACUCGCGAGGUCUAGUUCAUCGUGACUUGAAACCAGAUAAUUUCCUCAUGGGCUGCGGCCGGCAAGGGAACCAAGUGUUCAUUAUUGACUUUGGCUUGGCAAAAGAGUACAUCGACCCCGCGACACGUAGACACAUUCCUUACCGAGAUAGAAAGAGCUUUACAGGAACAGCGCGGUAUGCUAGUAGGAAUCAGCACAAAGGAAUCGAACACAGCAGGAGAGAUGACAUAGAAUCACUUGGUUACAUUCUUAUGUACUUUCUUAGGGGGAAUUUACCAUGGCAAGGUCAAGGGGGGCAACGUUUCACCGAUCAGAAGCAACAUGAGUACAUGCACAACAAAAUUAAGAUGGAGACUACCAUCGAGGAUCUCUGCGAUGGGUACCCCAGACAAUUUGCCGACUUUUUACACCACGCGCGCGAGUUGGGAUUCUAUGAGCAGCCUGACUACUCGUACCUUCGCAGCCUGUUCCGUGAUCUUUUCAUUCAGAAGAAAUUCCAGCUUGACCAUGUCUACGACUGGACAGUGUACACUCAACCUCCUCAGAAUGGCUCUGCACAAACAGUUCGAAGCCCGGCUGCCGGUCCACAGACUCACUUACAAAGUCGCCCUUCCAAUGUAUCAUAUUGUCCACCUCUGACUAAACCAGAGUUCCGGCGUGAGGUAGUUGCGGCGAAUUAGGGUUUACACAGGAAGAGAUGUGGUAAAGCAUCUCAUCUUCUUCGUUCUGGUGCCAAAAUGGUACAAGGUCGUCUGCUGUCUCUUUCUCGCAAGCCCUCACAUAUAGAUGAAGGUUUGUGAAGUUAGAGAUGCAACUACCAAGCAAAGGCUAGGAAAAGAGCUGUAGACUUUCUAGUGUGUAGUGUGUAAAUCAAGGCUUCUGGCAUGGUAUCGGCAGUCAGGUGCAUGGAGCAGAAUAGAAAUUACUUCGUGCAUGACAAGAUUUUUUUUCUUGCAGAGCUCUCGACGGUUCUGCGAUCUCACUUCUCUACACAACCAGCGCUCCUUUAAUUGAAAAGAGGAUCUGGUACGAGUAUGAUAAAGUUAACACAGAUUACUAGUUCAUUUC